rnacentral:rRNA from 1 species
ACAGCAGUAGCCGCGGUAAAACGGAGGAUCCAAGCGUUAUCCGGAAUCAUUGGGUUUAAAGGGUCCGUAGGCGGUCUUGUAAGUCAGUGGUGAAAGCCCAUCGCUCAACGGUGGAACGGCCAUUGAUACUGCAGGACUUGAAUUAUUGGGAAGUAACUAGAAUAUGUAGUGUAGCGGUGAAAUGCUUAGAGAUUACAUGGAAUACCAAUUGCGAAGGCAGGUUACUACCAAUUGAUUGACGCUGAUGGACGAAAGCGUGGGUAGCGAACAGGAUUAGAUACCCCUGUAGUCCCUGUCUCUUAUAC